UCCUGUCUUGUUCAAGUUUGAUUUAAACUCACAAUCUCCUGCGUCAACCUCCUGAAUGUUAGAAUUCCAGGUGUGUACCACUAUACUCAGCCACUCAGUUCCUAUAGACGGAGGUACCAAGAAAAGCAUGAAGUGUGUGUGUGUGUGUGUGUGUGUGUGUUAUUCAAGUACAAGUUUAUAAGUCGUUUGAAAGAAAAAUUUUCUAGCUAUAAUGUCUUGACAAAGCUAUCUUCACAGAUAUUUGAUAAGCCAAGAAACCAGUGUUUUGAUAAAAUGAUUUUUCAGCCGACUUCAACACCAAGGUGUUUGAUUUCAAAUUUCAGUUCCACGACCUACAAACUGGCUGGUUUCAAGCAAGAUCCUUAACCUCUCUCUGUGCCUCAAUUUUCUCAGCUCUAACAAUGCUCAUUGCUAAGUCUUAAACACUGUUGUGGGCUGCAGUGGUCCACUCAGGGUGACUGCUCCAUAUUGACAAGAGGAGCCCUCUCAGAGAUGUUGAUUCCUGACAUUUAUAGAAAAUGAGAGAGAGAGAAAGAGAGAGAGAGAGAGAGAGAGAUCGGGAGUGGGGGGAGGAAGAAAAGAACAUGGACUCAGGGCCAGUUGCGUUUGUCUACAGAUCAUUUUUUAAGAUCUUUACUAUGCUUAGUUGUUUCAACAAAUACAAAGUACCUACUGUGUGCUGCUUACUGCUGAAAACCUUCACACUAGGAAACUGUCUUCCUUAAAUUUAUUUAUUUUCAGUCCUGCUCCGUGUAAUCGUCGACUUCGCACAACCUGGGUUCCUGGCCUGUGGGCCUGUCUGUGGGGGAUGGUCUUGAUCAGUAACUGAUACAAGCUCCAUCCUUAGGCAGGCCAUCUUGGGCUCUAUAGGAAAGCUAAAUCAUGAGCUCGUGAAGAAAGACGCCAACGACAACAUUCCUCCAGGGUUUCUUCCUCGAGUUCCUAAUUAAGUUCCUAGUUAAAUUCCUGCCCGGACUUCCCUUAGUGAGGGACCACGACCCGGAAGUGUAAGCCAAGGGCAUUUGCCGUUGCUUCACUUCCAGAUACUGUCGCUUCUGAGGUAGCGCAGUUAGGGUAUCAUCACUGACUUCCAUUACCUAUCUACUUAUUUAUUCCUGGAGAGAAUGAAGACAGUUACGGAUAACAGUACCGAAUCCCACGGGGUGAGUAAGGACCGUGAGGUGAAUGGCAGAUGUGUGAGAAUGUGUGCAUACAUGUGUGUGCAUAUGUGCACAGUGGUAAAGGUGAAAGUGACACGCAUUCCAGGCAAUGGCAGUGCCAUCAGCAAAUGUCACCGUUGUUGAUAGCGGCACACUGGGAGAUUAUAUGGCUACCUAAACUGGGGCAUAAACCCAUAGAACUGUGGCCCUUGAUUUAAUGUCAUUGUUGACAUUAUUAAAUACUGACAGCAUUCUCUCCCCAAGACUUGGAAGAUAUCGUUUGCUUGUGUGGUGACCAGGUGAGCAAACAGAACUAUCAGGGAGGGAUUCAGCAGCCAAACUGGCCUACUAGGCCGUAGGGCCAGGUGUCAAUGUGGGAGGGUUUCCCCCACAGUGUUCAAGAUAGUGCAGCCUUCAUAAAGUGGUUCUUCUAGAAUUGGCAUUACUGGCUGCACAGGUUGGGGGGUUGGGAAACUGACUUAACAACUGAAACCUCUUUAUCUCCUGAGGUAGGAAAGGGUAGAAUACGGAGUGUAGACCCAGGACACCUACUUGGGUUGUCACCACACAUGAUAUCAUCAUGAUAUGCCCUCUGCCAUCACAGAGUACUCCUCUGCCUGAACCAGCUUCUACUUGCCUACAGCUGGCAGCUGAGUGCCACCUCUGUCCCAAGCUCCUGAGUGGCUGGCUUGUUUCAGGAAGAAGGGGCUUUUUUAAAAUUUGUACAGCAAACACACAGUAUCUGGGCUCUGUUUGUUCUUCUCCACCAGCCCAGGAAUAUAAACCCGGGAAAAGCAAAGGGGAAGGUGUGGCCAGAUUGUGAAAAGGGCUGUCCUCCAGCAACUGCCGCUGGGAGCUUCUUCCCUGGGAGAACUAUUGGUUCUUGAACACCGUUAGUGUUUGCUUUGGUCCUGGUUUCCUUCAGAUCUUGCAGCGAGAUGUGGGCUCUUUGUUGUUUGUGGGUGGGCUACAAAUCUGACCUGAAGUCAUGUGCAUGCUCUGGCUAACUAAGGUCCCCCUGUUGUCUCAUUAGCCUCAUUCCACCCUGAUCAUCAGAACACAGAAGCAGACAGUUUACAAGACCUUUGUCUUUCCGCCAUCAAAGGCCUUGAGUCUCCUGUCCUCAACACCAACCUGAGGUCUUCUCUGAUCACCCAGAUCUCAUGUAGGUGUGAAAAUGAGCCCGAGUUGUGAUAAAUCUUUAAAACUAACUACUAAUAAAUUUCUUCGUUAAGGUUUAUUCUCCCGUGAGCGGUGCAUAAGAUGACUAUCAUAGCUACAUGCAGACUACAUUGGUGGAGAGAGGCCAAGCCAUGCUGUCUCCUUUUCCUUCCUUAAUGGACACCCUGACUUCCUCUUGGGGGCUGUGAAGGAACUGUGAACAUCAGUAGGUUCUCAUGAACCACAGAGUCUCUGCGCCUGUUUUGUGAUUUCCUUCAGGCAUGAGCAGUGGAGGACUGUCAUCACAAGAGAAACAUCCUACAUGUGAAAGGAACAGGUGUCAGAUAGAAAAACCACUUGCCUGUCUAUCCAGGAGCACUCUCUCUGCAGAAGACAGAUCUAUGAGCCCCUAACAAUAUCUUGCCCUUCUCACUUCAACAAGGCUGGACCCUGAGUCACCCACCUGUGAGAGUCACCUACCUGUGAGAGUCAUCUGCCUGUGUGGAUCACCUACCUGUGCAGGCCACCUAUGAGAGUCACAUACCUGUAUGGGUCACUAUCUGUGCGAGUCACCUGGAAGUUCCCUUUGAAAGACAGCUCGCAGGUAAUGCUAAUGCUUUCACUCGUAAUUUACAGUCUAAGUAGCAACAAACAUCUUCGACCAAGCUUAGAAAGACUCACACCUUCAGUCCCAGAAUCUGGGUGACAUUGCCCCAUUUCAGUUGGAAAAAAUUUGAAUUAACUUUCCUGUCGUUGAUAUUUUCUAAAUUAUUGAAUCAGGGAAAAGAAUUGUGAAGAACCGAAAGGAGUUUCUAUUUUGCAGGCUGCCAAACACCCACAGUGACAGCAAGUUCAGAAGCCUUGGCCGUGAUUCCAAGGAGCUGGUCAUUUCCUCAGGAACGAAAAGCAGUGGUCAGAGUAUGGUUAGCUGAGCUCCACGCAGCAGGACAGCCACGCAGGUGUCACAAAAUCAGAACGCUGCAGUCAGAGGGAAGUGGCCGGCCAAGUCUGCCCAUGGUGCCAACACCCAUUCGAAGCAUGCCCUCAGAUCAAGGAGGACAGGACACCCUCCUGUGGUGAAUCAGUGGGGGCUGAUGGUAGGCUUAACUGGCUGUUAUGACCACACAUGUUACAUUGCACAAACACAGUGGUCGGAAGUCUAUCUUCAGUGACCCCCACCUGUAAACCCAGAGGUGAUCAGGGCAGUCAUGCAAGGUAGAUUUUAUGGAUGGCAUGAUAUUAAAUUUUAAAUGAUGUCUUUA